rnacentral:rRNA from 1 species
UACGGGGGGAGCAAGCGUUGUUCGGAUUUACUGGGCGUAAAGGGCGCGUAGGCGGCGCAACAAGUCACUUGUGAAAUCUCCGGGCUUAACCCGGAGCGGUCAAGUGAUACUGUCGUGCUAGAGUGCGGAAGGGGCUACUGGAAUUCUCGGUAUAGCGGUGAAAUGACGUAGAUAUCGAGAGGAACACCUGCGGCGAAGGCGGGUAGCUGGGCCGACACUGACGCUGAUGCGCGAAAGCCAGGGGAGCGAACAGG